GACGAACGCUGGCGGCGUGCCUAAUACAUGCAAGUAGAACGCUGAAGAGAGGAGCUUGCUCUUCUUGGAUGAGUUGCGAACGGGUGAGUAACGCGUAGGUAACCUGCCUGGUAGCGGGGGAUAACUAUUGGAAACGAUAGCUAAUACCGCAUAAAAUUGAUUAUUGCAUGAUAAUUAAUUGAAAGAUGCAACUGCAUCACUACCAGAUGGACCUGCGUUGUAUUAGCUAGUUGGUGAGGUAACGGCUCACCAAGGCGACGAUACAUAGCCGACCUGAGAGGGUGAUCGGCCACACUGGGACUGAGACACGGCCCAGACUCCUACGGGAGGCAGCAGUAGGGAAUCUUCGGCAAUGGGGGGAACCCUGACCGAGCAACGCCGCGUGAGUGAAGAAGGUUUUCGGAUCGUAAAGCUCUGUUGUAAGAGAAGAACGGGUGUGAGAGUGGAAAGUCCACACUGUGACGGUAUCUUACCAGAAAGGGACGGCUAACUACGUG
rnacentral:rRNA from 1 species